CGGGGGCGGGGCCGGCGCGCGCGGGAAGCGCCAGCGGGGAGGCCGGCCGGCUCCUCUGCGUGAGCCGCGCGUUAUGGCCCUUUCGGUGCCUGGCUACUCGCCCAGUUUCAGGAAGCCUCCCGAGACUUUGCGGCUCCGACGGAAAAGGGCCCGGAGCCGGGGGGCGGCCGCUUCACCCGGCGAGCAGCCCGAGCCGGCGCCCCGCCGCGCCGCUCUGGCGGCCGGGCUGCUCCUCCGCCCCUUCCCGGCGGCGGCGGCGGCGGCGGCGGCGGGCAGAGGCGGCGGCGGCCCGGCCGCGGCCCGCAGGAACCCCUUCGCCCGCCUGGACAACCGGCCUUCGGCCGCCGCGGAGCCCCCCGACGGGCCGCCCCGCGGCCAGCAGGAGGCGCAGGGCCCGUUUCUGGAUUCUAAUCAGGAAAAUGAUUUGCUGUGGGAAGAGAAGUUUCCUGAAAGGGCAACCGUUACUGAAUUACUCCAGACUCCACAAGGAUCAGUCUCUGAAUCUGAUAUUCCAUCCUCAGAAAGUACUGAGUUACCUGCAGACUGGAGUAUUAAAACUCGACUCCUUUUCACCUCUUCUCAACCCUUUACCUGGGCAGAUCAUUUGAAAGCACAGGAAGAGGCUCACGGUGUCAUCCAGCAUUGUAGGGCAACAGAAGUUACUUUGCCUCAAAGUAUACAGGAUCCCAAGCUCUCCACUGAGCUCCGUUGUGCCUUCCAGCAGAGCCUUAUCUAUUGGCUCCAGCCUGCCUUUCCUUGGCUACCACUGUUCCCUCGCAUUGGAGCUGAUAGAAAAAUGUCUGGAAAGAUAAGCCCUUGGUCAAAUGAUGAAACCUUGCAACACAUUUUAAUGAGUGACUGGUCUGUGAGCUUCACUUCUCUCUAUAAUCUGCUGAAGACAAAACUUUGCCCAUAUUUCUACGUUUGUACCUAUCAGUUUACUAUCCUGUUCCGCGCAGCAGGAUUAGCAGGAAAUGAUGUAAUCACAGCUCUCAUAUCUCCUACAACUAGAGGCAUAAGAGAAGCUAUGAAAAAUGAAGGUAUUGAAUUUUCUCUGCCGUUAAUAAAAGAAAAUGGCCAUGGGAAGAAAAAGGCAUCUGGAACAAGCCUGGGACAGGGGGAGGAACAAGUAAUCAGUGAUGAGGAUGAAGAUGAAAGUUUUUCCUGGCUGGAAGAGAUGGGUGUGCAAGAUAAAAUUAAAAAACCAGACAUACUCUCUAUCAAGCUACGUAAAGAGAAACAUGAAGUGCAAAUGGAUCACAGACCUGAGUCUGUUGUGUUGGUGAAGGGAAUGAAUACCCUUACGUUGCUGAAUUUUUUGAUCAACUCUAAGAGUUUAAUUGCUAGCUCAGGUCCACAGGCAGGACUUCCACCAACCCUCUUAUCGCCUGUAGCUUUCCGAGGUGCCACAAUGCAAAUGCUUAAGGCACGAAGUGUAAAUGUGAAGACACAGGCUGUUUCUGGAUACAAAGAUCAAUUUAGUUUGGAGAUUACAGGUCCUGUCAUGCCUCAUUCUCUACAUUCUGUAACCAUGCUACUCAGAUCUUCACAAAAGGGGUCAUUCUCUGCUGGACUGUAUACACAUGAGCCAACUGCUGUAUUUAAUACCUGCCUGCCAGUGAAUAAAGUACUGGAUAAGGAGACUGUUCAUGAGGAGCUUGCUAACUGUGGGUUGCAUCCUAAGACUCUGGACCAACUCAGUCAAACACCAAUACUGGGGAAAUCAUCUCUAAGGCAUGUGGAAAUGAGUGACUACGUUUAUAAUUGGAGAUCCUGAACACCAAACUGCUGCAUGUCAAAAAUAAAAUAGUCUUACAAAUCAAUAAUCUUGAAAAGUACAGAGAAGAUGCCAAAAAGUAAAGGAACCUUGGAAAGUAGACGAGGAUUUAAGGCUUACCAAGUGAACUGCAAGUUCAUGUCAAAACCUUAUUACCAGACAGUAAUUAAUUUUAUAUUCGUAUUUUUAAAUGUGAAGAAAUAUACUCAAAAUAAAAUGAACCAGGAUUAUCUUAACCUCUUAAGGAUCCUCAAGAGUUUGAAUCAAAAAGCAUGUUUCCAGGUUUUCAAGGUAAUUCAAGAUAUGCAAUAAUGCACAAAAAGCCAAAUAUAAUCCCCAAAGCCUUAAUACUCAAGGACUAGACCAAAUGUUACAUAUCAGUAUUAAAAUUCUCAUAAAAUACCAGAGCUAUUCUUUAGAACACUGGCCAGUAUUAUUCUCUACAAUGACAGCUAAAGGGCAUUUGAAAUGUGGCUAGGGCAAUUAAGGAACUGAUUUUUCAGUGGCCAGUGACUACGACAUUGGACUACAUGGUGUGCGUGUUAUGUGUAUAUGUAUACAGUGGAUUAUACUACACAGUGAACUUUAGAGCCUUAACCAUCUUUUAACGUUCCUCAGAAAUAGGAAUAUGGGAAAGGUACCGAAGUCAUGCUUUUUAGAAAGCCCUUCUAAAAACGAGGGGGGGAAAUCUUAAAUCUCAUAGACUACUACUGUCAAGUUGUCAUCAACAAGCCUUGUUUCCCCAUAGACUACAGAUUUUCUAAGUCUAAUUAUGAUACUAUAGUAAUAUUUUAAGUAUUAUAAUGGGGGGAAAUGUUUAAUUCCUUUAGGCUAGGACUUAUUCUAAGAAGUAAAAUCUACAUAAAAGAGUAUUCUGAAUUAUAAUUCCAGUUCUCAUACUAAUAAAAACCUAUCCAAGUUAUUUCAUCUCUCUACUACAGCAACACAGCAGAUCACUUCUUCCGUAAUCUGAAAGUGUCAGGAAUAAUGAAAUCCAUAAUGUAACAUGCAUUUCAUAACCCAAGUUAUAACUGUGUACCUUCUGUAUCUUCCUCAUUUAAAAAACCCUUCGUCAAAAAAAAAAAAAUCC